rnacentral:rRNA from 1 species
GACGAACGCUGGCGGCGUGCUUAACACAUGCAAGUCGAACGCUGAAGCCCCAGCUUGCUGGGGUGGAUGAGUGGCGAACGGGUGAGUAACACGUGAGUAACCUGCCCAUCACUCUGGGAUAAGCGCUGGAAACGGCGUCUAAUACUGGAUACGAGCAGCGACCGCAUGGUCAGCUGCUGGAAAGACUGGUUCGGUGAUGGAUGGACUCGCGGCCUAUCAGCUUGUUGGUGAGGUAAUGGCUCACCAAGGCGACGACGGGUAGCCGGCCUGAGAGGGUGACCGGCCACACUGGGACUGAGACACGGCCCAGACUCCUACGGGAGGCAGCAGUGGGGAAUAUUGCACAAUGGGCGCAAGCCUGAUGCAGCAACGCCGCGUGAGGGAUGACGGCCUUCGGGUUGUAAACCUCUUUUAGUAGGGAAGAAGCCUUCGGGUGACGGUACCUGCAGAAAAAGCACCGGCUAACUACGUGCCAGCCGCCGCGGUAA